GACGAACGCUGGCGGCGUGCUUAACACAUGCAAGUCGAACGGUGAAGCGCCUUCCUUUUUGGUGGGUGUGGAUGAGUGGCGAACGGGUGAGUAACACGUGAGUAACCUGCCCCCUUCUUCUGGAUAACCGCAUGAAAGUGUGGCUAAUACGGGAUAUUCUGGGUCUGUCGCAUGAUGGGUCUGGGAAAGAUAUUGUUUCGGUGGGGGAUGGGCUCGCGGCCUAUCAGCUUGUUGGUGGGGUGAUGGCCUACCAAGGCGGUGACGGGUAGCCGGCCUGAGAGGGUGGACGGUCACACCGGGACUGAGACACGGCCCAGACUCCUACGGGAGGCAGCAGUGGGGAAUAGUGCACAAUGGGCGCAAGCCUGAUGCAGCGACGCCGCGUGAGGGAUGGAGGCCUUCGGGUUGUGAACCUCUUUCGCCAGUGAAGCAGGCCUGCCUCGUUUGUGGGUGGGUUGACGGUAGCUGGAUAAGAAGCGCCGGCUAACUACGUG
rnacentral:rRNA from 1 species